rnacentral:rRNA from 1 species
GUGGGGAAUAUUGGACAAUGGGCGCAAGCCUGAUCCAGCCAUGCCGCGUGAGUGAUGAAGGCCUUAGGGUUGUAAAGCUCUUCCACCGGUGAAGAUAAUGACGGUAACCGGAGAAGAAGCCCCGGCUAACUUCGUGCCAGCAGCCGCGGUAAUACGAAGGGGGCUAGCGUUGUUCGGAAUUACUGGGCGUAAAGCGCACGUAGGCUGAUAUUUAAGUCAGGGGUGAAAUCCCGGGGCUCAACCCCGGAACUGCCUUUGAUACUGGGUAUCUUGAGUAUGGAAGAGGUCAGUGGAAUUGCGAGUGUAGAGGUGAAAUUCGUAGAUAUUCGCAGGAACACCAGUGGCGAAGGCGGCUGACUGGUCCAUUACUGACGCUGAGGUGCGAAAGCGUGGGGAGCAAACAGGAUUAGAAACCCGAGUAGUCC